AGUGGCGAACGGGUGAGUAACACGUGGGCAACCUGCCCAAAAGAGGGGGAUAACACUUGGAAACAGGUGCUAAUACCGCAUAACCAUAGUUACCGCAUGGUAACUAUGUAAAAGGUGGCUAUACUACCGCUUUUGGAUGGGCCCGCGGCGCAUUAGCUAGUUGGUAGGGUAAAGGCUUACCAAGGCAAUGAUGNGUAGCCGAAUUGAGAGGUUGAUCGGCCACAUUGGGACUGAGACACGGCCCAAACUCCUACGGAAGGCAGCAG
rnacentral:rRNA from 1 species